CAACACUGAACCCGUUGUGCAAGAACUCUUUGCACAACUGAGCUCCUCCUCAUAUUUGCCUGAAGCACUUUGUACUUGAAGAAGCAGACGCUUCUGUGUCAGAUGCAAACGCAUAUGAGAUGAAUCAGCAGCGGACGGCCAGACCCCAAGCCAGCGAGAGACCAUCCCCCACACGGGCAGAAAGGCGGGACGCCCCGCCCGGGUGCACCCACAGACUCCCCGCAACCGGACGGGAAGACCGCCCCACCAGCACCCACGAGCCCACCCCCACCCCCAGAGAGCACCGCGCAGCCCACGCCAGGCCACCUCACCCAAGUCGGCCGCCACAGGACCACCCAGCGCAGGGCCGCGGGAACCACCCACCCCACCCGCAGGGACCCCAACGAUGGAGAUGGAACAACCAGCAACCGCCCCGUCGAGGUCCCCCCCUGAGGGAGGGGGGAGAAAAUAAAUAAAUAAAUACAUAAAAAACAAACAAACAAACAAAACAAACAAACAUAAUAAUUGAUAAAAAAUAAACAAAUACAAUUAAAAGAAGAUAAAAGACAUGCUGACACACAAGAUCACUACCCCAGCAGCUGGCCGACUCGCAACAGCUCAGAAUACCCUGCAGCACCAAGCUACCACAAUAAAUGAGGGGACCAACGACUUGCAUGUGGUAUUAGACAGAAAGGAGGAACUUUUUUUCUCCUCCAUUUGAAAACGUGGACGUUAUCAGCACUACUGUCUGAUUCCAAUCAAUGCAAGUCAUCAGAAUCAGGUAAUACACCAACGUAUAUUGGUGUCUUCAUGAAAGAUAGGAAUCUAUAUGUUAAACAUGCAUGUAUAUUCAUUAAAACACCUUUAACAUGUGAACAAAAACGGCAAAAUAAAUAAAUAUAAAUCAAA